rnacentral:rRNA from 2 species
CCUACGGGAGGCAGCAGUGGGGAAUAUUGGACAAUGGGCGAAAGCCUGAUCCAGCAAUGCCGCGUGAGUGAUGAAGGCCUUAGGGUUGUAAAGCUCUUUUACCCGGGAUGAUAAUGACAGUACCGGGAGAAUAAGCUCCGGCUAACUCCGUGCCAGCAGCCGCGGUAAUA